AACGCACCUUGCGCCCUGUGGCUUUCCACAGGGCACGCCCGUUCGAGUGUCACGUUAACCCUCGCCAACGGCGUAGUAAUACGCCGCGAAGCGGAUUUGGACGUUGCCGGUCAUGAGAUCGGCUCGUCUCGAAAUGCAUUAGCGAAGUGCGAAGCACGUGCGACGUUGAUAAUUGUCUACGCCUCGCGGACUUUGCUCCUCGCUUCCAAUCGUCGUGAGACAAUCAUCAAAGUUUGACCUCGAAUCGGGUGGGACUACCCGCUGAACUCAA
rnacentral:misc_RNA from 1 species